AGGUGGAACAAAGCCACUGUUCGCAAGGCGCGAGCUGGGCACUUCCACAUGGACGGGUCCAACUCCCACACCCCAACCUGCAGGAGCAACUUGGGGCCCAGGAGGCCCAGAGACGUUGAGGAACCUGUCCGAAGCUGCUCAGCAGAGCCCAGUCCUCAGGCUCCUGGAUCUCUGUCUCCAAGGCCUGUGCUAUGCGUCCUCGCCUGGGACUCCGGGGAACUCUUCCCAGGUGGGUGUAACAAGCUGGGGCUCAGAGUCAGAUGGACCUAAGUCCUAAUUCCAGCUUCGCUCUGUGUCAUCAUAGCAGUUAUUUCUGAUUUCAGCACGCAGGCCCCUCAUCUUGAAAUGGGACUAACAGAAUGAGAACCACCCUGCGGUGGCCGUGCGGAAGGGCCAGUGGAGCACAGCUCUCUGGGCCUGUGGGAAUUGCUCCACACCUCUCCCCACCGGAAAUGACCUCUCUACCCAUUUCACAGACGAGAAAACGAAGAGUCAUGGUUUUGGGUGAAGCAAGAAUUUAGCAGAAAGGCUGGGAUCUGAGGCACCAGAGAGGAGGCAGAGCUCCGCCGAGGGGUUCCUAAGCCUACCCCAGCAGGACCACCUGCUUCCCCGGUCUGGACCUGCUUGUCUCACAGCAUCACACAAUAACAGCCGUAUUCUUAGACCCCGAGAGUGACCGACCGCCUGUCACAGCUGAGCCGCACAAGGGCUGAGGCGCAGAGAACGCUAGAAUCAGACAACCGCCGAGUGGAGAAUCCUGGGAUCUAAGCACUUGGAAGUCUGCAGUAGGGGCUCAUCGAAUCUCGGAAAACAUGAGAACUUUGGGGCCACAGGAUUUCAGAAUCACGGGAAGCACUCCUCGGGGCCCGCUGCGCGAGGUUGCGAUACCCCACCCCUGUAUCGCCGCCAUCUUUCUUUCGCGAAUAUUCAUUGAGCACGUAUUAUGCGCCAAGCUCUGUUCCAGGCCACUUGGGGAUAAAUCCGUAAACUAAGCAGGCAAAAAUUUCCUACCCUCUGGACUUCCCUCACAGAGGGGUCGUGACCACACGUAACGACCGACGUGGCAGGUUAGGACGUGAGUGCUGUGGGACUUGGCCAUAGCUCAGUACCCCUGGUAUGGUCCACUCCAUAGUUUUCUGUAAGUUGGCUCACUUUACACACACAAAUAUUUUUUUAAAUAUAUGUAUAUAUAUAUAUAUAUUUUUUUUUUUUUAAGAGAGAGAGAGCACACGCGCACACGCACGUGAGUGGGGGAGGGGCAGAGAGAGAGGGAGACCCAGAAUCCGAAGCAGACUCCAGGCUCUGAGCAGUCAGCACAGAGCCUGACGCGGGGCUCGAACCCACGGACCGCGAGAUCAUGACCUGAGCCGAAGUCAGACGCUUAAACACCUGAGCCACUGGGGUGCCCCCACAAAUAUUUAUAUAUUUAAAGGAAGUUUCCCAUUGCUGAUAAUAACGGGAACCCAAUAUAAGUGACCACCAACAGAAACACCAUGAAAAUAAAACGCUGUGCUGAGACACCUGACUGGAUGGUGUGCCUCCCCUUCCCUGAGAUCUCGGGAGGCCUGCACCCCCUCUGUUGUGAAAGGCAAUUGGAGGGUAUGGGAGCCGCCGAAGACAGGAAGUUGUAAGGGCAGAAAAUAGUUGAGAAAGCACACGACAAUGUUUAGACAUUCCCUUCAGGCACCACUGAAAUCCUCAGGCCUCGCUCAGCCCACCCCUCUGGGCCACUGAUUAGCUGUGUGACAUCAGGCAUGCCGUGUUACCUCUCUGAGCCUCAGUUUCCCCACCUGGAAACAGGGGCAUGAUGAAUGCACCUUCAUCCCGGUUGGUACAGGGGUGAAUCAAAAGGGCUUCGGGUGAGCUGAAGGCUCAGAGGGGUUAGUAAUCCCUCCCCCUGC